rnacentral:rRNA from 1 species
AUACGGAGGAUCCGAGCGUUAUCCGGAUUUAUUGGGUUUAAAGGGUGCGCAGGCGGGAGAUUAAGUCGGCGGUGAAAUUUUGCAGCUCAACUGUAAAAGUGCCUUCGAAACUGGUUUCCUCGAGUGUAGAUGAAGUAGGCGGAAUUUGUGGUGUUGCGGUGAAAUGCAUAGAUAUCACGAGGAACUCCGAUUGCGCAGGCAGCUUACUAAACUACUACUGACGCUCAGGCACGAAGGCGUGGGGAUCAAACAGGAUUAGAUACCCUGGUAGUCCACGCAGUAAACGAUGAUUACUAGCUGUUUGCGAUACAAUGUAAGCGGCUGAGCGAAAGCGUUAAGUAAUCCACCUGGGGAGUACGUUCGCAAGAAUGAAACUCAAAGGAAUUGACGGGG